GAUGUAGGUUCGUGUUCAGAUCACUUGGCUGUAGACAGUGACACAGUGAGAUUGUCGGAUUCCGACCAUGACUGAAAAGGUCAACCAGUUGUUUUAAUACAAAGGUAGCUGAUUAGCUCUUGAUUCUUCGGUUCUUUUGAGAGAAAAAAAAUGCCCAAUAUGAUAUAGCAGAGAGUGAUUAAAUUGGCACACAGAUUCAAUCAGUU
rnacentral:lncRNA from 1 species